rnacentral:rRNA from 1 species
GAUGAACGCUGGCGGCGUGCCUAAUACAUGCAAGUCGAGCGAACAGACGAGGAGCUUGCUCCUCUGACGUUAGCGGCGGACGGGUGAGUAACACGUGGAUAACCUACCUAUAAGACUGGGAUAACUUCGGGAAACCGGAGCUAAUACCGGAUAAUAUAUUGAACCGCAUGGUUCAAUAGUGAAAGACGGUUUUGCUGUCACUUAUAGAUGGAUCCGCGCCGCAUUAGCUAGUUGGUAAGGUAACGGCUUACCAAGGCAACGAUGCGUAGCCGACCUGAGAGGGUGAUCGGCCACACUGGAACUGAGGCACGGUCCAGACUCCUACGGGAGGCAGCAGUAGGGAAUCUUCCGCAAUGGGCGGAGGCCUGACGGAGCAACGCCGCGUGAGUGAUGAAGGUCUUCGGAUCGUAGAACUCUGUUAUUAGGGAAGAACAAGUGUGUAAGUAACUAUGCACGUCUUGACGGUACCUAGUCAGAAAGCCACGGCUAACUACGUG